rnacentral:lncRNA from 1 species
CUUCAGUUUCCUCAGCACGGGCCAGACUGUUGGCUUAACUCUGCUGAUCUCCUCUCCCUAGCACUCUCCUCCAGCCCACAGCAGCAUUUCAGUGGUGUCAACAGCCUUCAGUAGCCUCCAAGAGACCUGCAGCAAAGGAGAGGUAUACCCAAUCCAGCUUCCAAACAUGUUCAGAGAGCCUUACAUUCUGCAGUUAGUAUUGCUUCCAGGAUUAGAGAACAGUGAGGAAGAAGAGCUUGCAGAGGUAACUAAGAGUUAA